rnacentral:rRNA from 1 species
AGAACGAACGCUGGCGGCAGGCCUCAAACAUGCAAGUCUAGGGGAUGUAGCAAUACAUCACCGGCGGACGGGUGCGUAACACGUGGGAAUAUACCUUUCGGUACGGAACAACUGCGGGAAACUGCAGCUAAUACCGUAUACGUCCUUACGGAGAAAGAUUUAUCGCCGAAGGAUUAGCCCGCGUUCGAUUAGCUAGUUGGUGAGGUAAUGGCUCACCAAGGCGACGAUCGAUAGCUGUUCUGAGAGGAAGAUCAGCCACACUGGGACUGAGACACGGCCCAGACUCCUACGGGAGGCAGCAGUUGGGAAUCUUGGACAAUGGGGGAAACCCUGGAUCCAGCCAUGCCGCGUGAGUGAUGAAGGCCUUCGGGUUGUAAAGCUCUUUUACCCGGGAAGAUAAUGACUGUACCGGGAGAAUAAGCUCCGGCUAACUUCGUGCCAGCAGCCGC